AGGUAAGCUACUAAGAGCGAAUGGUGGAUGCCUUGACUGGUAAAGGCGAUGAAGGACGUACUAGACUGCGAUAAGCUACGGGGAGCUGUCAAGAAGCUUUGAUCCGUAGAUUUCCGAAUGGGGCAACCCAAUGUAUAGAGAUAUACAUUACCUAUAUAGGAGCGAACGAGGGGAAUUGAAACAUCUUAGUACCCUCAGGAAAAGAAAUCAAUAGAGAUUGCGUCAGUAGCGGCGAGCGAAAGCGCAAGAGGGCAAACCCAGUGCUUGCACUGGGGGUUGUAGGACUGCAAUAUGCAAGAGGUAAGUUUAGCAGAACAUUCUGGAAAGUAUAACCAUAGAGGGUGAUAGUCCCGUAUGCGAAAAACAAACCUUAGCUAGCAGUAUCCUGAGUAGGGCGGGACACGAGGAAUCCUGUCUGAAUCCGGGUCGACCACGAUCCAACCCUAAAUACUAAUACCAGAUCGAUAGUGCACAAGUACCGUGAGGGAAAGGUGAAAAGAACUGAGGUGAUCAGAGUGAAAUAGAACCUGAAACCAUUUGCUUACAAUCAUUCAGAGCCCUAUGUAGCAAUACAGGGUGAUGGACUGCCUUUUGCAUAAUGAGCCUGCGAGUUGUGGUGUCUGGCAAGGUUAAGCAAACGCGAAGCCGUAGCGAAAGCGAGUCUGAAUAGGGCGCUUAGUCAGAUGCUGCAGACCCGAAACGAAGUGAUCUAUCCAUGAGCAAGUUGAAGCUAGUGUAAGAACUAGUGGAGGACUGAACCCAUAGGCGUUGAAAAGCCCCGGGAUGACUUGUGGAUAGGGGUGAAAGGCCAAUCAAACUUCGUGAUAGCUGGUUCUCUCCGAAAUAUAUUUAGGUAUAGCGUUGUGUCGUAAUAUAAGGGGGUAGAGCACUGAAUGGGCUAGGGCAUACACCAAUGUACCAAACCCUAUCAAACUCCGAAUACCUUAUAUGUAAUCACAGCAGUCAGGCGGCGAGUGAUAAAAUCCGUCGUCAAGAGGGAAACAACCCAGACUACCAGCUAAGGUCCCUAAGUCUUACUUAAGUGGAAAACGAUGUGAAGUUACUUAAACAACCAGGAGGUUGGCUUAGAAGCAGCCAUCCUUUAAAGAAAGCGUAAUAGCUCACUGGUCUAGUGAUUUUGCGCGGAAAAUAUAACGGGGCUAAAGUAAGUACCGAAGCUGUAGACUUAGUUUACUAAGUGGUAGGAGAGCGUUCUAUUUGCGUCGAAGGUAUACCGGUAAGGAGUGCUGGAGCGAAUAGAAGUGAGCAUGCAGGCAUGAGUAGCGAUAAUUAAUGUGAGAAUCAUUAACGCCGUAAACCCAAGGUUUCCUACGCGAUGCUCGUCAUCGUAGGGUUAGUCGGGUCCUAAGUCGAGUCCGAAAGGGGUAGACGAUGGCAAAUUGGUUAAUAUUCCAAUACCAACAUUAGUGUGCGAUGGAAGGACGCUUAGGGCUAAGGGGGCUAGCGGAUGGAAGUGCUAGUCUAAGGUCGUAGGAGGUUAUACAGGCAAAUCCGUAUAACAAUACUCCGAGAACUGAAAGGCUUUUUGAAGUCUUCGGAUGGAUAGAAGAACCCCUGAUGCCGUCGAGCCAAGAAAAGUUUCUAAGUUUAGCUAAUGUUGCCCGUACCGUAAACCGACACAGGUGGGUGGGAUGAGUAUUCUAAGGCGCGUGGAAGAACUCUCUUUAAGGAACUCUGCAAAAUAGCACCGUAUCUUCGGUAUAAGGUGUGGUUAGCUUUGUAUUAGGAUUUACUCCGAAAGCAAGGAAACUUACAACAAAGAGUCCCUCCCGACUGUUUACCAAAAACACAGCACUCUGCUAACUCGUAAGAGGAUGUAUAGGGUGUGACGCCUGCCCGGUGCUCGAAGGUUAAUUGAUGGGGUUAGCAUUAGCGAAGCUCUUGAUCGAAGCCCGAGUAAACGGCGGCCGUAACUAUAACGGUCCUAAGGUAGCGAAAUUCCUUGUCGGUUAAAUACCGACCUGCAUGAAUGGCGUAACGAGAUGGGAGCUGUCUCAAAGAGGGAUCCAGUGAAAUUGUAGUGGAGGUGAAAAUUCCUCCUACCCGCGGCAAGACGGAAAGACCCCGUGGACCUUUACUACAGCUUGACACUGCUACUUGGAUAAGAAUGUGCAGGAUAGGUGGGAGGCUUUGAGUAUAUGACGCCAGUUGUAUAUGAGCCAUUGUUGAGAUACCACUCUUUCUUAUUUGGGUAGCUAACCAGCUUGAGUUAUCCUCAAGUGGGACAAUGUCUGGUGGGUAGUUUGACUGGGGCGGUCGCCUCCCAAAUAAUAACGGAGGCUUACAAAGGUUGGCUCAGAACGGUUGGAAAUCGUUCGUAGAGUAUAAAGGUAUAAGCCAGCUUAACUGCAAGACAUACAAGUCAAGCAGAGACGAAAGUCGGUCUUAGUGAUCCGGUGGUUCUGUGUGGAAGGGCCAUCGCUCAAAGGAUAAAAGGUACCCCGGGGAUAACAGGCUGAUCUCCCCAAGAGCUCACAUCGACGGGGAGGUUUGGCACCUCGAUGUCGGCUCAUCGCAUCCUGGGGCUGGAGCAGGUCCCAAGGGUAUGGCUGUUCGCCAUUUAAAGCGGUACGCGAGCUGGGUUCAGAACGUCGUGAGACAGUUCGGUCCCUAUCUGCCGUGGGCGUAAGAAGAUUGAAGAGAUUUGACCCUAGUACGAGAGGACCGGGUUGAACAAACCACUGGUGUAGCUGUUGUUCUGCCAAGAGCAUCGCAGCGUAGCUAAGUUUGGAAAGGAUAAACGCUGAAAGCAUCUAAGCGUGAAGCCAACUCUAAGAUGAAUCUUCUCUAAGCUCUCUAGAAGACUACUAGUUUGAUAGGCUGGGUGUGUAAUGGAUGAAAGUCCUUUAGCUGACCAGUACUAAUAGAGCGUUUGGCUUAUCUUU
rnacentral:rRNA from 1 species